rnacentral:rRNA from 1 species
CGCUGGCGGCGCGUCUUAAGCAUGCAAGUCGAACGGCAAGAUUGGUGCUUGCACCGAUCCUAGAGUGGCGGACUGGUGAGUAACGCGUGGGUGACGUACCCUAAGGAUAGGGAUAGCUGGUAGAAAUAUCAGAUAAUACCGAAUAUCCUUAUUGUUGUUAGAGGACAGUAAGGAAAGGAGCUUUGGCUUCGCCUAAGGAUCGGCCCGCGUACUAUUAGCUAGUUGGUGAGGUAACGGCUCACCAAGGCGACGAUAGUUAUCCGGCCUAAGAAGGUGAACGGACACAUUGGGACUGAGAUACGGCCCAGACUCCUACGGGAGGCAGCAGUGGGGAAUAUUGGGCAAUGGGGGAAACCCUGACCCAGCAACGCCGCGUGAAGGAAGAAGGCUUUCGGGUUGUAAACUUCUUUUACCAGGGACGAAGAACGUGACGGUACCUGGAGAAAAAGCAACGGCUAACUACGUG